AAGGUUUUAAGUUAAGCCAAACUAAUAUCCUUCAAAGUUAUAAAUAAAGAAUAUUCUUUAGACCUUA
rnacentral:tRNA from 1 species